rnacentral:rRNA from 1 species
UGCUAUCGGGAUAGGACUAAGACAUGCUAGUUGAGCGCUUCCAGCCAAAACGGGAGCGCAGCGCACAGCUCAGUAACACGUGGCUAAUCUGCCCUUGGGACCGGAACACCCCCGGGAAACUGGGGCUAAUUCUCGAUAGGUGAAGAACUCUGGAAUGAGUCUUUGCCAAAAAGACGUUUACGUUAUGCUCGUAGGCGUCGCCCAAGGAUGAGGCCGCGACCGAUCAGGUUGUUGGUGAGGUAAUGGCUCACCAAGCCUUUUACCGGUGCGGGCCGUGAGAGCGGGAGCCCGGAGAUGGGCACUGAGACAAGGGCCCAGGCCCUACGGGGCGCAGCAGUCGCGAAAACUUUGCAAUACACGAAAGUGUGACAGGGCUAUCCCGAGUGCCAUCCGCUGAGGAAGGCUUUUACCCAGUCUAGAACGCUGGGGGAAUAAGGAGAGGGCAAGUCUGGUGUCAGCCGCCGCGGUAAUACCAGCUCUCCGAGUGGUGUGGAUGUUUAUUGGGCCUAAAGCAUCCGUAGCUGGCUGAGUUAGUCCCUUGUUAAAUCCACCGAAUUAAUCGUUGGAUUGCGGGGGAUACUGCUCGGCUAGGGGACGAGAGAGGCAGACGGUAUUUCUGGGGUAGGGGUGAAAUCCUAUAAUCCCAGGAGGACCACCAGUGGCGAACGCUGUCUGCUAGAACGCGCCCGACGGUGAGGGAUGAAAGCUGGGGGAGCGAACCGGAUUAGAUACCCGGGUAGUCCCAGCUGUAAACGAUGCAGACUA